CCUACGGGAGGCAGCAGUGGGGAAUAUUGGACAAUGGGCGCAAGCCUGAUCCAGCAAUGCCGCGUGGGUGAAGAAGGCCUUCGGGUUGUAAAGCCCUUUUGUACGGGAAGAAAUCAUCCGGGUUAAUACCCUGGGUGGAUGACGGUACCGUAAGAAUAAGCACCGGCUAACUUCGUGCCAGCAGCCGCGGUAAU
rnacentral:rRNA from 1 species